AUCACAUUGUAGGAUUUUUAAUUAAUUGAUUUGCAAAUGAUGGUGGAAAAUAAGUAUUUGGUCAAUAACAAAAGAUUCUCAAUACUUUGUUAUAUACCCUUUGUUGGCAAUGACAGGUCAAAUGUUUUCUGUAAGUCUUCACAAGGUUUUCACACACUGUUGCUGGUAUUUUGGCCCAUUCCUCCAUGCAGAUCUCCUCUAGAGCAGUGAUGCUUUGGGGCUGUUGCUGGGCAACACGGACUUUCAACUCCCUCCAAAGAUUUUUUAUGGGGUUGAGAUCUGAAGACUGGCUAGGCCACUCCAGGAGCUUGAAAUGCUUCUUACGAAGCCACUCCUUCCUUGCCCAGGCGGUGUGUUUGGGAUCAUUGUCAUGCUGAAAAACCCAGCCACGUUUCAUCUUCAAUGCCCUUGCUGAUGGAAGGAGGUUUAGCUGGUAUUAUGUUGUUCCACUAUGAGGUUAGCUGGUAUUAUGUUGUUCCACUAUGAGGUUAGCUGGUAUUAUGUUGUUCUACUUUGAGGUUAGCUGGUAUUAUGUUGUUCCACUAUGAGGUUAUCUGGUAUUAUGUUGUUCUACUAUGAGGUUAGCUGGUAUUAUGUUGUUCCACUAUGAGGUUAGCUGGUAUUAUGUUGUUCUACUUUGAGGUUAGCUGGUAUUAUGUUGUUCUACUAUGAGGUUAGCUGGUAUUAUGUUGUUCUACUAUGAGGUUAGCUGGUAUUAUGUUGUUCUACUAUGAGGUUAGCUGGUAUUAUGUUGUUCCACUAUGAGGUUAGCUGGUAUUAUGUUGUUCUACUAUGAGGUUAGCUGGUAUUAUGUUGUUCCACCAUGAGGUUAGCUGGUAUUAUGUUGUUCUACUUUGAGGUUAGCUGGUAUUAUGUUGUUCUACUAUGAGGUUAGCUGGUAUUAUGUUGUUCUACUAUGAGGUUAGCUGGUAUUAUGUUGUUCUACUAUGAGGUUAGCUGGUAUUAUGUUGUUCCACUAUGAGGUUAGCUGGUAUUAUGUUGUUCUACUAUGAGGUUAGCUGGUAUCAUGUUGUUCUGAGGUUAGCUGGUAUUACGUUGUUCCACCAUGAGGUUAGCUGGUAUUACGUUGUUCUGAGGUUAGCUGGUAUUACGUUGUUCCACCAUGAGGUUAGCUGGUAUUAUGUUGUUCUACUAUGAGGUUAGCUGGUAUUAUGUUGUUCCACCAUGAGGUUAGCUGGUAUUAUGUUGUUCCACUAUGAGGUUAGCUGGUAUUAUGUUGUUCUACUAUGAGGUUAGCUGGUAUUAUGUUGUUCUACUAUGAGGUUAGCUGGUAUUAUGUUGUUCCACUAUGAGGUUAGCUGGUAUUAUGUUGUUCUACUAUGAGGUUAGCUGGUAUUAUGUUGUUCCACUAUGAGGUUAGCUGGUAUUAUGUUGUUCUACUAUGAGGUUAGCUGGUAUUAUGUUGUUCCACCAUGAGGUUAGCUGGUAUCAUGUUGUUCUGAGGUUAGCUGGUAUUACGUUGUUCCACCAUGAGGUUAGCUGGUAUUACGUUGUUCUACUAUGAGGUUAGCUGGUAUUAUGUUGUUCUACUAUGAGGUUAGCUGGUAUUAUGUUGUUCCACCAUGAGGUUAGCUGGUAUCAUGUUGUUCUGAGGUUUAGCUGGUAUCAUGUUGUUCUGAGGUUUAGCUGGUAUUAUGUUGUUCCACUAUGAGGUUAGCAGGUAUUAUGUUGUUCCACUAUGAGGUUAGCUGGUAUUAUGUUAUUCUACUAUGAGGUUAGCUGGUAUUAUGUUGUUCCACCAUGAGGUUAGCUGGUAUUAUUUGGUUCUGAGGUUUAGCUGGUAUUAUGUUGUUCCACUAUGAGGUUAGCUGGUAUUAUGUUGUUCUACUUUGAGGUUAGCAGGUAUUAUGUUGUUCUACUAUGAGGUUAGCUGGUAUUAUGUUGUUCUACUAUGAGGUUAGCUGGUAUUAUGUUGUUCUACUAUGAGGUUAGCUGGUAUUAUGUUGUUCUACUAUGAGGUUAGCUGGUAUUAUGUUGUUCUACUAUGAGGUUAGCUGGUAUUAUGUUGUUCUACUAUGAGGUUAGCUGGUAUUAUGUUGUUCUACUAUGAGGUUAGCUGGUAUUAUGUUGUUCCACCAUGAGGUUAGCUGGUAUUAUUUGGUUCUGAGGUUAGCUGGUAUUACGUUGUUCCACUAUGAGGUUAGCUGGUAUUAUGUUGUUCUACUAUGAGGUUAGCUGGUAUCAUGUUGUUCCACCAUGAGGUUAGCUGGUAUUAUGUUGUUCUACUAUGAGGUUAGCUGGUAUUAUGUUGUUCCACCAUGAGGUUAGCUGGUAUUACGUUGUUCUACUAUGAGGUUAGCUGGUAUUAUGUUGUUCCACCAUGAGGUUAGCUGGUAUUAUGUUGUUCUACUAUGAGGUUAGCUGGUAUUAUGUUGUUCCACCAUGAGGUUAACUGGUAUCAUGUUGUUCUGAGGUUAGCUGGUAUUACGUUGUUCCACCAUGAGGUUAGCUGGUAUUAUGUUGUUCUACUAUGAGGUUAGCUGGUAUCAUGUUGUUCUGAGGUUAGCUGGUAUUACGUUGUUCUACUAUGAGGUUAGCUGGUAUUAUGUUGUUCCACCAUGAGGUUAGCUGGUAUUAUGUUGUUCUACUAUGAGGUUAGCUGGUAUUAUGUUGUUCCACCAUGAGGUUAACUGGUAUCAUGUUGUUCUGAGGUUAGCUGGUAUUACGUUGUUCCACUAUGAGGUUAGCUGGUAUCAUGUUGUUCUGAGGUUAGCUGGUAUUACGUUGUUCCACCAUGAGGUUAGCUGGUAUUAUGUUGUUCUACUAUGAGGUUAGCUGGUAUUAUGUUGUUCCA